GGGUAAGAUGGUAAAUAAUCAUUCUUGAGGGGUACUUCGUGAGGAGUUAGAUCUAAAGCUUAGGGUGUGCUUGGUUCCACGUAAAACUGUGGAAAAAAAAUUUUUGGUGGAAAAAAAAAUUUCGGUGGAAAAAAAUUUUACGUUGUUUAUGUUUGAUUUGUAGAAAAAGAAAAAUAGUUUUUCAUGAUAAUUGUUUUGUUGAAAGGAAAAGAAAAAUAAAUAAAAAACUAUUUAAUAUAUUUUUUAAUAUAUAUAUUAUUAAUAUAUUAUAAUUAUUAUAUAUGUUUUCUCUAAUUAUAUAUAUUAUAUAUUAUUAAUAUAUAAUAAUUAUCAUAAUAUAUUUAAUUAUUAUAAUUUAUAUUUAUAAUAAGUUAUAUUAUAUAAUAAAUAUGUAAUAUAAUAUAUAAUAAUAUAUAUUUAAUAUUAUAAAAUAAAUUAUUAUAUAUUUAUAAAUAAAAUAUUAUAUAAUAAAUAUAUUUAUAAAAAAUAAAAUAAAAUAAAAUAAUAUAUAUAUAUUAUAUUAUUAUAAUUAAA
rnacentral:lncRNA from 1 species